GGGCCUGUAGUCCAACGGCAGAAUACUUCACUUGCACUGAAGAGUUCCGGGUUCAAUUCCCGGCAGGUCCA
rnacentral:tRNA from 1 species